CUGUCACUUAUAGAUGGAUCCGCGCUGCAUUAGCUAGUUGGUAAGGUAACGGCUUACCAAGGCAACGAUGCAUAGCCGACCUGAGAGGGUGAUCGGCCACACUGGAACUGCGAAACGGUCCAGACUCCUACGGGAGGCAGCAGUAGGGAAUCUUCCGCAAUGGGCGAAAGCCUGACGGAGCAACGCCGCGUGAGUGAUGAAGGUCUUCGGAUCGUACCACUCUGUUAUUAGGGAAGCACAUAUGUGUAAGUAACUGUGCACAUCUUGACUGUACCUAAUCAGAAAGCCACGGCUAACUACGUGCCAGCAGCCGCGGUAAUACGUAGGUGGCAUGCGUUAUCCCGAACUAGUGGGCGUAAAGCGCGAGUAGGCGGUUUUUUAAGUCUGAUGUGAAAGCCCACUGCUCAUCCGUGGAGGGUCAUUGGAAACUGGAAAACUUGAGUGCAGAA
rnacentral:rRNA from 1 species